rnacentral:rRNA from 1 species
GACGAACGCUGGCGGCGUGCUUAAUACAUGCAAGUCGAACGGAAAGGCCCUGCUUGUGUGGGGUGUUCGAGUGGCGAACUGGUGAGUAACACGUGAGUAACUUGCCCUUGACUUUGUGAUAACUUCAGGACACUGGGGCUAAUACCGGAUACGAGCUUCUGCUGCUUUUUGGGGGUUGGAGGGUUUGGGCGGUUGGGGAUGGACUCGAGGCUUAUCAGCUGGUUGGUGGGGUUGUGGCUUACUAAGGGUUUGACGGGUAGCCGGCCUGAGAGGGUGACCGGCCACAUUGGGACUGAGCUACGGCCCGGACUCCUACGGGAGGCAGCAGUGGGGAAUAUUGCACAAUGGGGGGAAGCCUGAUGCAGCAACGCCGCGUGCGGGAUGACGGCCUUCGGGUUGUAAACCGCUUUCACCUGUGACGAAGCGUGAGUGACGGUAAUGGGUAAAGAAGCACCGGCUAACUACGUG